AAUGAACGCUGGCGGCGCGCCUAAUACAUGCAAGUCGAGCGAGAAGACGUAGCAAUACGUUUGUAAAGCGGCGAACGGGUGAGGAAUACAUGGGUAACCUACCCUAGAGUGGGGAAUAACUAGCCGAAAGGUUAGCUAAUACCGCGUACGCUCCUUGGACUUCGAUUCAGGGAGGAAAGCGAUGCCGAGGGUAUCGCGCUCUUGGAUGGGCUCAUGUCCUAUCAGCUUGNGGUGAGGUAACGGCUCACCAAGGCUUCGACGGGUAGCUGGUCUGAGAGGACGAUCAGCCACACUGGCACUGCGACACGGGCCAGACUCCUACGGGAGGCAGCAGUAAGGAAUAUUGCGCAAUGGGCGAAAGCCUGACGCAGCGACGCCGCGUGGGGGAGUG
rnacentral:rRNA from 1 species